rnacentral:rRNA from 1 species
CAUGCAAGUCGAGCGGACAGAUGGGAGCUUGCUCCCUGAUGUUAGCGGCGGACGGGUGAGUAACACGUGGGUAACCUGCCUGUAAGACUGGGAUAACUCCGGGAAACCGGGGCUAAUACCGGAUGGUUGUUUGAACCGCAUGGUUCAAACAUAAAAGGUGGCUUCGGCUACCACUUACAGAUGGACCCGCGGCGCAUUAGCUAGUUGGUGAGGUAACGGCUCACCAAGGCAACGAUGCGUAGCCGACCUGAGAGGGUGAUCGGCCACACUGGGACUGAGACACGGCCCAGACUCCUACGGGAGGCAGCAGUAGGGAAUCUUCCGCAAUGGACGAAAGUCUGACGGAGCAACGCCGCGUGAGUGAUGAAGGUUUUCGGAUCGUAAAGCUCUGUUGUUAGGGAAGAACAAGUACCGUUCGAAUAGGGCGGUACCUUGACGGUACCUAACCAGAAAGCCACGGCUAACUACGUGCCAGCAGCCGCGGU